GGAGCUGCGCCGCCUCCCGAUCUUCCCGGUCCCUCUCCUCCCUUCCAGAAGCGGCCAAGACCAACGGCCUCGCCCCCGCUGCGUGAGAUCGCUGGUGCCCUCGUAGCUCCGAUCCAGCCUCGCCCCCAAGCCAAGGAGCGAAUUCAGCGAGACAGACAGAAGUCAAUUACUUCUGAUCUCAAUAUAAAGAUCUGGGUGGUUGGACUUUGGUCUGGACUCUGGAGAGAUGAGGUUUUGGACCACAAGUUUGAUGAGGUCAUGAGGUUCAGCAAAGUGAAAGGUUCAGUUGUUCACCGGUUGCUGGCCGUGGCCUUCCCGCCGGAGGAGGAGGAGAUGGGCCAUCCGGCGGCGGGGCGGGAGGAGCGUCGGCGGAGACCCAUGGCGUCGGCGGGCUGCCCGCCGGGAGAUCACUGAACUUCUUCAACCUUCUCAUCAUUUGCAAGAAACCAUGAAUGAGUGUCACUGCUCUCCCGCUUCUGGCCUCCAGUCCUGCUUGCUCUUACAUAGGCAAAAUAGUGCCCGUCAUCCAACUUUUGACCUCCGUGCACAAUUACCGCUACAAGGCAAUAUUUGUACUCAUUGUCCAGAUAUCUGAACAUCAGAGAAAUGAAUAAUGGUUAAAAAUAUUUAUUUUUGAAGAAGUUAUCACCAAAGUUAUUGGCACUAUGAUCUUAUCGUGUAUCAUAUUGGAUCAGUAUUGAAAAAAUAUGAGCUAUGUUAUAUUCAACUAAGUAGAAGUAUUAAUACCUGGUGUCCAUAUAUUUGGUUAUAUCAAGUGUCUCCUGAAAGAUCACAUGUUCUUCGAUCUUUCCUGACCCAUCAUCGUGAACGAAUUCAAAUCUCUUCAGCUGAAUGGUUAGUACAGGUGGUGCCUUGUUAAUGCGAUAUUUAAUUGCUGCAACUCUUCUUAUCUUUUUUCCCUCCUUUGGUUUGUUGUGGUAUUGAUCCAUUUGAUG
rnacentral:lncRNA from 1 species